GAUGAACGCUGGCGGCGUGCCUAAUACAUGCAAGUCGAGCGAACGGACGAGAAGCUUGCUUCUCUGAUGUUAGCGGCGGACGGGUGAGUAACACGUGGAUAACCUACCUAUAAGACUGGGAUAACUUCGGGAAACCGUAGCUAAUACCGGAUAAUAUUUUGAACCGCAUGGUUCAAAAGUGAAAGACGGUCUUGCUGUCACUUAUAGAUGGAUCCGCGCUGCAUUAGCUAGUUGGUAAGGUAACGGCUUACCAAGGCAACGAUGCAUAGCCGACCUGAGAGGGUGAUCGGCCACACAGGAACUGAGACACGGUCCAGACUCCUACGGGAGGCAGCAGUAGGGAAUCUUCCGCAAUGGGCGAAAGCCUGACGGAGCAACGCCGCGUGAGUGAUGAAGGUCUUCGGAUCGUAAAACUCUGUUAUUAGGGAAGAACAUAUGUGUAAGUAACUGUGCACAUCUUGACGGUACCUAAUCAGAAAGCCACGGCUAACUACGUG
rnacentral:rRNA from 1 species